UUUCCCGAUCCCCGAUCCAGCCCCUAGAUGUGCCCGCGAUAUUUUCCUUAUAUGAUCAGGCCCCGUUGUGGGCGGCGCUGCUUGCCCGGAGCCUGAGAGGAUUAUGAAAAUACUUCAGGUGACGUGGGGCGGGGAACCGGGUG
ensembl:snoRNA SCARNA17 small Cajal body-specific RNA 17